rnacentral:rRNA from 1 species
UACGUAGGGUGCAGGCGUUAAUCGGAAUUACUGGGCGUAAAGCGUGCGCAGGCGGUUUGUUAAGACAGAUGUGAAAUCCCCGGGCUUAACCUGGGAACUGCGUUUGUAACUGGCAAGCUAGAGUGUGGCAGAGGGGGGUGGAAUUCCAAGUGUAGCAGUGAAAUGCGUAGAUAUUUGGAGGAACACCGAUGGCGAAGGCAGCCCCCUGGGCUAACACUGACGCUCAUGCACGAAAGCGUGGGGAGCAAACAGG